rnacentral:rRNA from 1 species
UACGGAGGGUGCAAACGUUGCUCGGAAUCAUUGGGCGUAAAGCGCACGUAGGCGGUCCGCUAAGUCAUGUGUGAAAUCCCCCGGCUCAACCGGGGAAUGGCGCCUGAUACUGGCGGACUCGAGAUCGGUAGGGGUGAGUGGAACUCCAGGUGGAGCGGUGAAAUGCGUAGAUAUCUGGAGGAACACCGGUGGCGAAAGCGACUCACUGGACCGACACUGACGCUGAGGUGCGAAAGCUAGGGUAGCAAACGGG